CUACGGGACGCUGCAGUGGGGAAUAUUGCGCAAUGGGCGAAAGCCUGACGCAGCAACGCCGUGUGAGGGAUGAAGGCUUUCGGGUCGUAAACCUCUGUCGGAAGGGAAGAACGGGCAUUGGUCUAAUAGGCCUUUGUUUUGACGGUACCUUUAGAGGAAGCACCGGCUAACUCCGUGCCAGCAGCCGCGGUAAUACGGAGGGUGCAAGCGUUAUUCGGAAUUACUGGGCGUAAAGCGCACGUAGGCGGCCUUGUAAGUCAGGGGUGAAAUCCCACGGCUCAACCGUGGAACUGCCUUUGAACUGCAGGGCUUGAAUCCUGGAGAGGGUGGCGGAAUUCCUGGUGUAGGAGUGAAAUCCGUAGAUAUCAGGAGGAACACCGGUGGCGAAGGCGGCCACCUGGACAGGUAUUGACGCUGAGGUGCGAAAGUGUGGGGAGCAAACAGGAUUAGAUACCCUUGUAGUC
rnacentral:rRNA from 1 species